AGCAAAGAGGAGGAGGCACCUGCACUGAUUUCCUCACAUGGAAUCUGGGAGACAAACCCUUUCCAUACAGGACUGCAAAGGUGGGAUGGGCUCUCCGUGAUUCAUAGCAUUGCUUCCAUUGAAUGAGAGGAAACCAAGGAGCUGGAACAAGAGGCUUGGAGAACAAGUUGCAGGUGAUUGCAACCCCUACAAAGCACAUCUGUGCUGGGAUGCUGCGUGCUGCAUCAGUGAGGAGGAUGAUGCCAAUCCAAUGUCCUGGUUGGAAUCUGCAGCCUCAAAGCCUGAGAUUUCCCUUCUGAAGGUGGCCACCAAGUUAUUGUGGAGCUGGUCCCUGGGCCCACAUUCCUGGUUAUUCCCCAGGAACCCUGAUGGUUUGUGCUGUGCUCUAGUCAUGGCACUGAGCACCUAAAACCAGGUAGGAAGCAUUAGAGUUAUCUGAGGAGGGGAUGCUGACCUGCUGAGCUACACAAACAGUUCCUCACUGGAUUUGUUUCACUGGAAGUAGUUGGUUAUGCCCUGAACCACCAGCAUCUGUGCAUUGUUGUUGAUGGAAGUGAUAACUCAGAUCAAGCCUCUUCUUGCUUAAACCAAGAUCUUAUCAAGAACGAUGUUGUUGGAAGUGUUGCUUGGAGGCUGGUGUGUGAGCAGGAUGGGGAGUGGGCUGGAAGGGCAGGUGAGAUGAGGGAACGCAUUGAGGAUGCUGUUACCAACCUGAGGAGAGCUUUGUUCCAGCUCAUGUUCUUCCAUAUCCUAUCCAUCAGCCCGUGGGUUGGAGGGGAUUUGAUGUAACCCCGUGGUUAAUCAUGCGAGUGCCUGCAGGAAGCUGUUGCUUGUGUUCGUUGUGCUGCAGAAACCACCUUUUCCCCUUUGUGCUGAGCAGUGGCUUGUUAGAGAACACCAGAAACCUUUAUAUUCUUGCUUGGAGAUUGGAUGGACUACAAUAAAUCCACGGCCUUUUCACAAGUCUUCUCUAUACCUUUUGAUGGUAUAUAGGUUUUAAAUAUGAAGCUAUUAUGGAAAACCUUACAGAAACCAUAAUACUCAUCUCUGCCUCCUGUGUAGCAGUAAAGCCCCUAAAUUGUCUCCAUAAAAUCCUACCUGAAUAAACUGCUAAAACACUCUUCAUGCAGGAAGGGAAUGCAAGAGAAACCUGGUAAAGGGCAGCUGGGACCUGGAACCUUUCCUCAUGUGUAUGUUCUGUUCCUGGUGUGGCAGAAGUCAUAGGGCUGUCACUAAGAGAGCCAUAAGGGACACUUGGAAAGAGCAGAAGGCACUUGCAGAUGCCACCAGAGUCUAUAUUAAUUCUAUUCUGUUGGCAUUUCACUUGACUGCAGCAUCUAUAAGCGUUUUCAGUUGAUACAGAGGAGGGAAAAUGCCUUUUUACACAUGUAAGAAACCACUCCAUAGGAUUGCUGUGCUUUGAGUUCCCCAUUGGCAGUAUUCAGUGUGUCAGCAUCCUUGAUGCGAUGGCAGCGGCUGCUUCAUCUGGUGCACCCAUGGGCAUGAGGAUGCAAUGUCAGCCCCAGCCUUGCUCCUGCACCGUGGGGAGCUUGAGGGGGCUUUAAAGGCAGCUGAGCACAGAUCAAUACCUCUUGGUCCUCUUCCUCUCCUUCCAGUUCCCAUCUCUGCUCCAGAGGUGACAAAUGGCACUGGGGAACCAGAGAGGUUUUCUGUUGUCUGGGUCACAGCGUGGGCUCAGGGUUUGCUGUAAGUCCAUGGGCAAAACUGGUUAAUCAGAGCUCUUCUUCCACUGUAAAGCCUUUGAGAUCCCUUGGAUUUUCACACCUCCCCAUUGCUUCAAUAGGAAUGUGGCUGUAAUGUUUCCCCCCUGUUCUCAGGUUGGGUUUUAGUCCUUAAGUUGUUCAUUGAGAUGAUGAAACAAGAAGACUUUGUGCUAUUGAAAGCACUGUGUGAACAUCUCUGAAAUCUCCCUUGUUAGAGAGCUGAUGAUGUGAGGCAAGUCCUUUGUCAUUGAAUGUCAGGUUUCUAGUGUGGUUUCAGCCUACCUCCAACCACCAUUCCUUGUGUGGAUGCUGUUCUGUCAACAGAGCUUUAGCUCAGAAGGCUACAGAGCCUUGCUUGUGAUGUGUAUUGAGGUACUGUGAAGCCUCGCAACAGACAGGAGAAAACCCGAGGUCCAUCUGCGUUCUGCCAGCAGAUACAGGUUUGUGUAACGCUUUAGGUUGGCUUUUAUAACUGUGAGCAUUGUCUGCAGCUUGGUUUCCUGUUCCUGAUUAACCAGCUGUGAAAUCCUCCUUAGUUUCCCUUGCCUCUGUCUCAGGGAACACAGGGUUAGGAAGCAGUUUGAGGUACGGCACAGCCUUGCUCUGAUGCUUCAGGCUCACUGCUGCCUGUGACAUUGUUCCCUUUGGGUGUCUCUUUAAUCUGAGGGACUUCCCAAAGUGCCAUUGUCAAUGCUGUGGACCAUUACGCAUCCAUCGCAAGGCUCCCAGUGCAGGAGCAGUACAAACCCCUGCUGGCAUCUCACACAUCCUUUCUGCUGGGCAGGUUAUUUAAUAGCUGAGGUGGGAACUUGCACAGCUCCUUUCUCCCUCAGCACAGAGCAGAGCUCGGUUCUACAUCGCCUUUCAUGUCCUGCUUCCAAAGCUGCUCUUUUGUAUUGCUCAGGAGGGACCAGUGGGAUUGCCUGGACUCACACAGUGCCAGACUGGGGCUGGCUUGAUUCCUAAUGUGCUCUGGAAUGACUGGGAUGAGCUCAGGUGGAAAUCAGCCCCCCCAUCCCCUAAACCUUUUAGCUUCUGUGAGCACUUGAAUGCCUUCAAAUACAUACCUAUGGGUCACAAGAAGUGGGGCACUGGGGAAGCAGAUGGGUCAUUCUCUGCAAGGUUCAUAAUAAAGCUUGGCACAUUGCUUUGGAGCUAGUUGGGCUGCAUUGAGUUGCUAGACGGGAUGCUUCAACACAGCAUCUUUAUUAAGGUGCUACAUGGGAAAAGAGCCCAUUUUCUCUUUGGUUUUAGAGGUUCUGAUCAUUCCAGCUAUGGAAGGGAAUGCUUGUUUGGGAAAAAUCCAUGCGAGGUUCAGAGGACUCCAUGCAAAGUGAAGCUGUGGCUGCCCCAUCCCUGGCAGUGCUCAAGGCCAGCUUGGACACAGAGGCUUGGAGCAGCUGCUCCAGUGGAAGGGGUCCCUGCCCAUGGCAGGGGGUUAGAACUGAAUCAGCAAUAGGGUCCUUUCCAAUCCAAACAGUUGGGGAUUCCAUGUGCCUCUCUCCAAGGAAAAGGCAGGAAAGCAAAGCCUGAAUUGAAGUGUUCUGUUGAAAACGUUCAUUUGCAAGUUGGAUUUUGACAUUUUCCCACUUAAAAAGCCUCUGUUCUCCCCCAUGGAGAGCAUUGAGAGGAGAAGCAAAUUUAUGAGUUGUGAGUAUUGAAAGGAGGAUGUUCACAAACACACUGGGUUUUUUCCUUUGGCCUGGUUUGAUUGCUUCAGUACUAAAUAUAGCAGCCUUAACUUGGAGUUUCCAGGCCUUUCCAAGCACGAUGUUUGGUUUAAAGUUGUUCCUUCCACCCCAGUUUUUUUGCCGUUUGUCUUAAUUUGAACCUAAAACAUUCAGUGUGAUAAUAUAUGGUGAUGAAUAUUAUCACUUCAAUGAGCUGCGAGUCCUGAUGUGAUUGAAGCUGGGGUUUGUGUUUGACAGGUGAUGGUGCAUCAGCCAUCCUCGUCUGCUGAGGUUUCAGCUGCAGACACAAGCAGGGCUAUAGUCCAUGGUAAGAACUUAUCCUUGCACAGCAACAGUCUUCAGCUGCACAUUGAGGGAUAGGACCUCGCUCAAACCAGUAAGUAUCCCAUGUCCAUUAUGGAGUAGAAACUGGGGGUUUCUCCAGUGGCAUGGGAAAAACACCAUUUCAAUGCGGAAACAGAGCAAACAGCAGGAUUCUAUGAUUCACUGUAUUAUUCCUCCAUUCAGGAAAGCAGGGACACCAUCUUGUAUGGCAAAACCAAUGGAUUCUCUGUAAAUAGGAUUAUAAUUAUCCUAGCAGAAGUGCAUUUGUAAUGCAGUUUGUUUGGCUGUAAGGUGAGCACAGCACAUGUGCAUCUGAUGCUUGCACGAGUGCACAACCUUACAGCUCUUUAACACCUAUCUCAAGCAACUCCCUCUAGGACAGAAGCAGCUAAAGAGGAGGAAGCCUUGAAGAGCCUCAUGGACACUGCAGUGAGUAUAUUCAUCCCUGUGUGAGGAUGCUGAGGCGCUUCCAACCCAAACCAUCCCAUGAUUGCAUGAGUAACGUGAAGUGUGCCCACUAGCAUGGCUAGCUCAGCCCUCCAUUGGUGCCCCCACUCUUAAUGAUACCAUUGAUGCUCUUUGGUUCGAAGAAACAUGCUAAAAAGCAAAACCAACCCCUCAAAAACGUUUCAAAGAGAAGGAAACCUACAGCACCAUCCACUUUGACACUUCCAGCUGUCCCAGAUAUAUAUUCCUGUUGGUUUAUGUGUUUAUGAGGCUCCUCAGCUGAUGACAGCACUGCAAGAGUGAGCCUUCAUCUUUCAACCUGCUGCCACUCAAAAUAAGACUCUUGAUACAUGGGUUUAAUGAAAUCCUUGGAGAAUGUUUAAAAACAUUAAUAUUAAAUACCACAAUUAAGGCUGAAAAGCCAAAAUCUACCAGCAAGAAUGGUGAAAAAGGUGGAACAUGAAGCUCUGGACAAGGUCCAUUUGGGAAUGGUCAAGAAGUUACAGGUAAAGAGUGUACCUGAGAGUGUUACAUAAACCAUCUCUCAAUGGGUGUGUUGGAUGGGCUGGAAUCUGGGAAGCACUAGAUAAUGAGGGAAUUUGUAAGAGCAGUGUUGUCUAAUGCUGCUUCUACUCUUCUGUUUCCAUCUCUAUCCAUUGGGUCUAGGAGAAACUGGGAAGAGAUCUUUGAUUAACCUGCUUCAUGUUUUUAGCCAUCAGUUAUAUCCCUGCAUUGAUAGUUAUGGUGAGACAAACAUUCCAGCUUUUAGGAAUGGUGCAAACACUCUAAUAUCUGGGAUAUUGUCUUUCCUUGAGGUUUCAAAGGUUGAUUUCCAGCUUGGUCAAUCGCCAAACAGCUCUAACUGUAUUUAUCCCAGUAAUUAAAAGCUACCAUUUUAAAUGC